UGGCUGAGUGGUUAAGCGCUUGGUUUCGAACCUGGGGUUCUGGGUUCAAAUCUCGG
rnacentral:tRNA from 1 species